rnacentral:rRNA from 1 species
UACGUAGGUGGCAAGCGUUGUCCGGAUUUACUGGGCGUAAAGAGCGCGCAGGCGGUCGUUCAAGUCGCGUGUGAAAGCCCCCGGCUCAACUGGGGAGGGUCACGCGAUACUGAUCGACUCGAAGGCAGGAGAGGGUAGUGGAAUUCCCGGUGUAGUGGUGAAAUGCGUAGAGGAUGUGGAGGAACACCGAUGGCCGAAGGCAGCCCCCUGGGUCAACACUGACGCUCA